rnacentral:rRNA from 1 species
GUCUAUGGCCAUGCCACCCUGAACAAGCCCGAUCCCAUCUGAUCUCAGAAGCUAAGCAGGGUCGGGCCUGGUUAGUACUUGGAUGGGAGACCACCUAGGAAGACCAGGUGCUAUAGGCA